CUCCAGGAGACAGUUGUCCAGGUGCAAACACUGCCAUAAAGGUCCAAGGUCAAGUCAGUUGGCUGACUAUUCAAAGCAUUUUGGAGUUAGAAUCCAUCAAAAGAGGAGUUCAGCCACUGACUCUGCCCUUACUGGUUGCGUAGCCUUAGGUGAGUUGCAACAGCCUCACCAGCAAAGAGGGAGUAACAGUAAGAAAUGAGAAUUCCCUCGCCUGCUUCUGAGAAGCUUUCCUGGGCUGGUCACUGUAGUUUCCUCACCUUAUUUGUCUGCAGGUUGGGAGUUUGCUGAGGGUGGAAAAGGUGCGGGCAAUGCACAGGCUGGCAGAGGCCCUCAGAUGAACUUCAGGGUUUUCAGGUGUUACCAAGCCUGAGCUCGAACAGCUUGCAGCAGGGCAGGCCAAGCCAGUAAAUUGAGAGUAGAGUUGUUGGGGCAAGGAAUAUUGGCUGUAUUUGGGAAGCUGCAGGCUGAGAAGAUGGUGGAUUAGUUUCCCAAAGAGCCAUCUUGCCCAGGGUGACUACUUGAACCUGAAUUUCCAGUUUGCCCUGAUAAAGAAGAGAGGAUCCUGGAGGGAAUUCUUGGGCUGAUGGCCUGGACAAAGUUCUACUCAGACCUGAACAAGUCCUACUAACCCUGGAGACGCAAAGGCAGGAACAUUUCCAAGCGAAAACCUGACCAGCCCACCGAACUUCAGUUUACGCCAAUUACCUAGGCAACCGCCAGCCGCGCAAGCGCAAGACCUCCCUCCUUCCCCCUCCCCAGUGCCCCUGGCUCUACGGAAGCCUAGCGGGCCAAAACAGAAGCGCCGCGCCGUACU